rnacentral:rRNA from 1 species
AAGGGGCAAUUGCUCCACUACAAGAUGGACCUGCGUUGUAUUAGCUAGUAGGUGAGGUAAUGGCUCACCUAGGCGACCGAUACAUAGCCGACCUGAGAGGGUGAUCGGCCACACUGGGACUGAGACACGGCCCAGACUCCUACGGGAGGCAGCAGUAGGGAAUCUUCGGCAAUGGGGGCAACCCUGACCGAGCAACGCCGCGUGAGUGAAGAAGGUUUUCGGAUCGUAAAGCUCUGUUGUAAGUCAAGAACGGGUGUGAGAGUGGAAAGUUCACACUGUGACGGUAGCUUACCAGAAAGGGACGGCUAACUACGUGCCAGCAGCCGCGGUAAUACGUAGGUCCCGAGCGUUGUCCGGAUUUAUUGGGCGUAAAGCGAGCGCAGGCGGUUUGAUAAGUCUGAAGUUAAAGGCUGUGGCUCAACCAUAGUUCGCUUUGGAAACUGUCAAACUUGAGUGCAGAAGGGGAGAGUGGAAUUCCAUGUGUAGCGGUGAAAUGCGUAGAUAUAUGGAGGAACACCGGUGGCGAAAGCGGCUCUCUGGUCUGUAACUGACGCUGAGGCUCGAAAGCGUGGGGAGCGAACAGGAUUAGAUACCCUGGUAGUCCACGCCGUAAACGAUGAGUGCUAGGUGUUGGAUCCUUUCCGGGAUUCAGUGCCGAAGCUAACGCAUUAAGCACUCCGCCUGGGGAGUACGACCGCAAGGU